UACGAAGGGGGCUAGCGUUGUUCGGAAUUACUGGGCGUAAAGGGCGCGUAGGCGGUGUGUCAAGUCAGGCGUGAAAGCCCCGGGCUCAACCUGGGAACAGCGCUUGAGACUGGCACGCUCGAGUUCGGGAGAGGAUGGUGGAAUUCCUAGUGUAGAGGUGAAAUUCGUAGAUAUUGGGAAGAACACCGAUGGCGAAGGCAGCCAUCUGGACCGACACUGACGCUGAGGCGCGAAAGCUAGGGGAGCAAACGGG
rnacentral:rRNA from 1 species